CGUGUAGGCGGCCUUUUAAGUCAGAUGUGAAAUCUCAGGGCUUAACCCUGAAACUGCAUUUGAAACUGGAGGGCUUGAGGAUCGGAGAGGGCAGUGGAAUUCCCAGUGUAGCGGUGAAAUGCGUAGAUAUUGGGAGGAACACCAGUGGCGAAGGCGACUGCCUGGACGACACCUGACGCUGAGGCGCGAAAGCUAGGGGAGCGAACGGGAUUAGAUACCCCGGUAGUCCUAGCCGUAAACGAUGGGUACUAGGUGUGGGAGGUAUCGACCCCUUCCGUGCCGCAGUUAACACAAUAAGUACCCCGCCUGGGGAGUACGGCCGCAAGGUUGAA
rnacentral:rRNA from 1 species